rnacentral:snoRNA from 1 species
UGGGCAUUUUAGAGAGGUCCUAUGGAGCUGUGAUACAAGGAGCUCUGAAUAAAAUCACCAAGGACGGAAGUUCUCCUUAGGGUACCCAGUCACGCAGUUGUGCUGGCUUCCUGAGAAUGUAGUGGU